rnacentral:rRNA from 1 species
AGAGUUUGAUCAUGGCUCAGAAUGAACGUUGGCGGCGUGGAUUAGGCAUGCGAGUCGCGCGAGAAUGUAGCAAUACAGGACAGCGGCGAAAGGGAGAGGACAACACGGGAAUCUGCCUUGGGGACGAGGAUAGCGUCGGGAAACUGACAGUAAUACUCGAUAAUGUUUGCGGACCAAAGGUGUGAUUCCGCCCCAAGAUGAGCCCGUGCCCCAUUAGCUAGUUGGCAGGGUAAUGGCCUACCAAGGCUGUGAUGGGUAGCUGGUGUGAGAGCACGACCAGCCUCACUGGCACUGAGACACUGGCCAGACACCUACGGGUGGCUGCAGUCGAGAAUCUUCGGCAAUGGACGCAAGUCUGACCGAGCGACGCCGCGUGCGGGAUGAAGGCCUUCGGGUUGUAAACCGCUGUCGUAGGGAAUCAAGUGUAUGAGGGUACUCCCUUGUAUUUGAGAGAUCCUAGGAGGAAGGAGAGGCUAAGCUCGUGCCAGCAGCCGCGGUAAGACGAGCUCUCCAAACGUUAUUCGGUAUUACUGGGCUUAAAGAGUUCGUAGGCGGCUCUGUAGGUGAGAUGUGAAAGCCCUCGGCUUAACCGAGGAACUGCGUUUCAAACCACAGGGCUUGAGGGAGAUAGGGGUAAGCGGAACAGAUGGUGGAGCGGUGAAAUGCAUUGAUAUCAUCUGGAACACCGGUGGCGAAGGCGGCUUACUGGGUCUUUUCUGACGCUGAGGAACGAAAGCUAGGGUAGCGAACGUGAUUAGAUACCCCGGUAGUCCUAGCCGUAAACGAUGAGCACUAGUCUGAGGGACUCUCACAGUUUCUCGGACGUAGCGAAAGUGUUAAGUGCUCCGCCUGGGGAGUAUGGUCGCAAGGCUGAAACUCAAAGGAAUUGACGG